rnacentral:rRNA from 1 species
CUCUGGCCUCAAAUCAGGUAGGACUACCCGCUGAACUUAAGCAUAUCAAUAAGCGGAGGAAAAGAAACUAACAAGGAUUCCCCUAGUAACGGCGAGUGAAGCGGGAAAAGCUCAAAUUUGAAAUCUGGCGGUCUCAGGCCGUCCGAGUUGUAUUCUAGAGAGGCGUCUUCCGCGCCGGACCGUGUACAAGUCCCUUGGGAUAGGGCGUCAUAGAGGGUGAGAAUCCCGUCCAUGACACGGACCGCCGGUGCUUUGUGAUGCGCCUUCAAAGAGUCGAGUUGUUUGGGAAUGCAGCUCAAAACGGGUGGUAAAUUCCAUCUAAAGCUAAAUACAGGCGAGAGACCGAUAGCGAACAAGUACCGUGAGGGAAAGAUGAAAAGCACUUUGGAAAGAGAGUUAAACAGUACGUGAAAUUGUUGAAAGGGAAACGCUUGGAGUCAGUCGCGUCCGCCGGGACUCAGCUGGGCUUUUGCCCGGUGCACUUCUCGGUGGAUGGGCCAGCAUCGAUUUCAGCUGCCGGACAAGGGCGGGAGGAAUGUGGCACCUCCGGGUGUGUUAUAGCCUCUCGUCGGAUACGGUGGCCGGGAUCGAGGUCAGCAGCACGCCUUAUGGUCGGGGUUCGCCCACGCCACGUGCUUAGGAUGCUGGCGUAAUGGCUCUAAACGACCCGUCUUGAAA